AGGCCAGAAGCACAAACUGAAUGCCGCCUUCCGCGAGUACAAGCGUGGGGAUGUUGGCUAUUUGGCAGAAAGCAGAAAAUGAGGUGGUGUCCCUAAGAACAUCCCAUUAACUUCCUUCCUGCUCAUCUCCUCUCAGCCUGAUUCCUGGGAAGCCCAACCUACAGCACGGAGCUGUGUGGGAAACACAUAGAAGGUGGGGUCUGAUUCCCCUCCCCUUGCAUCUGGGCUGGACUCGGUGACUUGCUUGUCCAUCUGAACGUGGCAGAAGCAGUGUUCUAGGACUUCGGACGCUGGAUCACAUGAGGCUCUGUCAUUUUGUCUGGGUCUUUUGUCGGGCUCCCUGUGAGGGGCCCAAGCAUGUGGAGAGCCCGUGGUGUAAGUGUCCGCUUCACAGUCCGUGGCCAGUCAAGUGAGGGCGUCGUCUUGGACAUCCAGUCCACUGGGCCUUCUGAACUCUGCAGUCCCAGCCAGCACCGGACUGCACCCCAGAGACCCCUGUGAGCAGAGUGCACCCCCAAAGACGCCCUGCACCCAGUCAACCCACAACCAUAGUUGUGGGCCAGCUCGGGUUCCUCUCCUUCCUUGGGCCCUGGCUCCUGCUCAUGUGUUCUCCGUGUACCGACUUGUACUUUGAGUGGCUCAGGCUCUUUGCCUUCCUGCUCCAUAUCCUGAAGUCGGCUAUUUAUGCCCCCACUUCCCCAUCUCUGCCCAUACUGACCUUUACCAAGGAAGGUGGGCUUUGCCUGGCACUUGAAAAGGACAGGCGGUCUCCUCAAAGACCAUGCCCAGAUGUUCACCCCUGCGGCCCCAGGUCCUAGAGCAAUGAAGGAGGAGGGGGAGGAGAAAGAAAAGAAAACAACCAAAAAAUGCAGCCCAUCAUGUGUGGGUUCAGAAAAAUGCCAAAGAUUCCUUUAAUUCAAGUUCAUUUCAAACAGCAACAGUGUAAGCUGCUUUCCCAAGCUUCACAGGCAACACUAAGUUUUUAAUAGGCUGGGGUUUUAAUAUGUGGUGAAACCAGUUUUUUGUGUUUUGUUUUUAUCCAGGAAGAGUUCACUGGGCAAGUAGUUAAUAGCUGCAACAAUUUAUGAGCUAUCACUGUUUCCCACACAUUAUUUUAGGGCUUCUUGAAAUUAUCUAUAAAAACGUGUCAUACACCAUGAGCUUCACAAAAAUAAAGGGAUUAGAAUUUUUAUUUUAAAUGAUAAACAGAAGUUCUCUGUCACAUCUGAGAAAGCUCAUCUUUGCUUGAGAAACAGAAAGAGACUCUAACCCCCCCCACCCCACCCCGGGGAGUGCACACAGCCAUUGAGAGUCUCAGCCUGACCCACCUGCCGAGGGCCCCACCUGUUCCUCACAGGAACUGGGCACUGGGGCACUUUCACUGCCCUGUACUCAUAAAUCAGAUCCCUGCUUCUCCUCAUUCUCUUCCUCCUUAUUUGACAUGUUGUUCCUUGUUUGUUUUUAUUAAUGUUUCUUUGCCUGCCUGUAAUUGUAGUUUUAAUAUAACAUAGUACGGGCUCUUUUAUUUAGCAGUUUAUGAUGUUUCUUUUGUUACGGCAAUGUUAUUCAUACCACUGUGGGUUUGUGUGCAAAAUCUGUGUAACAAGUUCUGGAGAUGCAGUGAUUGAUUCCCUAUACAAAAUCACCAAAACUUUCCUGUGGAGGAAAAUACAGAAAAUCAGAAGGAAGAAAACUUGGUGGGGAAAGGGCAGAAUUUUUCAUUGGAAAGAAAGGGAGGCAUGUUUCCAGGAACCUUAAUGACCCCUGGGGACUUCCCAGUUGGGAGUCAGGAAUCACUGUGUACUCUUGGGUCAGUGGGAUGCCUUCUGAGAGGCUGGAGUGGAAGCCAGAAGCUGUAGGAUGAAUCAGAAGCUGGCAGGCCUCGGAGCCCAGGCUGACUUGAGGAGUGGUGGGUGGACUUCUGGGCCUGGGUGUGAACAUCAGCUGAUGAAGGAUGAAUCCCAGGAGCUGGGAGUAGUUCCCAGAGGUUGGUGGUGGAUUUCUAAUGCCAAGAUUAGACUGAAGAGCUGGAGAGGUAACAGAGGAGUGCAGGGAGCUCUGAGGGUGUAGGACCGCCUGGGAGGUGGGAGGAAGCAUUUGCAGCAGUGAUGGCCAAGGGAAUGUUAUUUAUCAGGAAGAGUGGAGCCCUCACAGCAGGAGGUGACAUGGUGGCUUCUCCCUCUUGAAGUGGGAAUGGAGGGGAAAUGACUCCACUGUGUCCAAAACUUCCUGGCCAGCCGGUCUGCUUGACACCUUGAAGGAGACAGGAUUGUAGGGCUCAGUGGCCAUCAGUGGGUACUUUGUGCACCCAUAUGGGGGUUCAAUCCUCUGUUCCUGAGCAGAAAUGAAGCGAUGGCAGGGCAUGGUGCCCUGGGCAACCAGAUAGCCAAUCUGGAAGAGAAGGGGGAAUCUGGAGCCCACAGAUAAAUUUCUCUGCUUGGUUAUUUUAUAGCUCAGAGUGCUGGUUUUCAUUCACAUCUUCAUCUCCACCAUGACCCUGUCCAACACUGGCUGAGCUGCAGACCACUUGGCUGAUUUCUGGAGCAUUUGGUUUGCCUUUUCCCAUGGGCAUGUGUGGGUAAUUCACCUUCUUGUUUGAAGAGUCAGAUAGAACUGGCAUUUAUUAACCCCAAGUUUUUGUUCAGAAAAUGCAGAAUCUUGUUGACACCAGUGGUCUUUCCGGCCAAAUUCCAUUGAUGCUCUCUCUGCUGCUAGUUGUUCUCUGAGGAGGAGGAUACUCCCAGAUUCCAGUCUUGCAUCUACUGACUGCUUUCUUCCCCAUAUGCUGGUAUUUACUCUCCUUUGGGAGUGACUGAUGAGAGGGUCCUCAGCCUCCCGAAAAGUAGACUUGAUGGAGGCUUUUUCUGCUCCCUCACUGCUUUUGGUUCUGGGCAGGAAAUGGUGGACAGUAAAAGACCAGACCAGGGAAUCAUGGCAGGUUCUCCUGUUUGCAAAGAAGUAUAUCUGCGGAGUCCAGAGCCCGCCUGAACUGACGUGUACCUGAACAGUGACGGUCGGUCCCCCUGCUGGGGGGAGACAGGUCUGGAAAGUCAUGAUUACCUCUCCUCGGCAGAGAGGCAUAUGGGAAAUGUUGAUAUGUUCUCCUUGUGUGCAUGUUUGCUGAGGAGUCCAGUGGACUGAGAUAUGUCUAGAGAGUCAUGGUGGACCCUCCUUGGAGGAGAUUCUCAGGUGUUCUGCUGAGGCUUCCAAGAAUGAGAAAGAUCUGGGAAGUCAUUAUGCCCCUCCUAGAGAGGUGGACCCAUGGAGCUGUGACAGGAAUGCCUCGGGGAGGUCAGACAUUCAUUCUUGCCUCCAUUUGCCCAAAAGGGCUCCAUGUGCUUUCCCACCUGUCUUACUGUCUUCCUCAUCCUCCUUCCCCAGUGUGAAGGUGAAGAUGACUCACAUUAUGAGCAGCUUACGCUGUGUUCCACAUCCUUCAUCCCCCUACCACUGCCUCUUCCAGGCAUCGGCUGCUUUUCACAGCACUUGCAGUUAAAUCUGAAGUUCCUACAGGCACCGAGGACAAGUAGCACUUCACAUGCAUGCCCACUGAGAGUGGCAGGGCGACUGCCAGGGGAGGAGCAUGUUGGCCUUCUGUGCCUUAGUGGGCAGGGAGAAGCAACCACUGGAGGGUGUCCCAGGUCUUCAGGGUGCGAGGCAGGCUGGUGUCAUGAGAGAGCUUCAAGGGGAAUGCAGCACGGUGAGGGGACACCUGGGGUCCCACACCUUUGGAAAAUGUACUCAGUCCUGAAGGGGAUGACCUCUGUAUUUUGUUUUUUUGUUUUGUUUUAAGUAGUGUAGCUAAUGAGAUUAAAUUUAGCCAUAAUCACAGUGUUUACUAUAUCCAGCUAAACCUGACUAGAUUAUUUGGACAUUGUCCAAGUGAUUGAUUAGUAUGCUCAUUUAAGGGAUAGAAUAUUUGUGUAAUGGUUACGAAUAAAUUUGUUUUCAGGA